AGAGGAGAUAUGCGAGGAGGUUGGCGAUCUACGCAGCAAGCGGCGGUAGCGGCAGGCUGAGACGGCAUGCGGACGACCGCCAGGGGCGGCAGCUUGCGGUGGUCGGAGCACGAGAGGAGCAGAGAGCAGCGGCGCGUCUGCGAGGGAAGAUGACGGCGCAUCCAUUGGAGGCGACCUCGGGGCAGAGGGCGUCCAGUGGAUCCUGGCCCUGGAGGCGGUCUUGGAGUGCCGCCGGCUGAAGCACGUCAGGAGUGACGACGGCUCCAUGGGAGGCGACCUCGGGGCAGAAGGGGCGAGGUACCGGUAGGCGGCGGUCUGGUGGUGGUUCGCCGGGCGGCAGGGUCGGUCGGGCACGUGGGGAUCGAGCGCGUCCCCCCUGAUGGCGUUGAGCAUAGCGGCACACGACCCCAAGACAACAGAGAGAACAGAGAGAGGAAAAAAGGCUCAGUAGCGGCGAUGGCGAGCGGCGGCGGUUUGAUGACGAAGAAGGAGCUCGGCGAGACCCACGACGUCCUCCGCUUUGGCGUCAACAACAGCGUCCAUGGCGACCUCGCGCUAGCGCACCCCGUCCAGGCCACCAUCAAGGAGGCCAAGUUCUGGGAUAAGAAGAAGAAGUUUGGGACCGAGGCCAUCUACGGAUCGACCUUCAACAUCCGCAGGGAUCUCGACACCCAGAUCCUCUCCAGGUUAUGCGCUCAUGGAGGAGAACCUGCUGUUCCUGGGGGCCUGGAAAGCAGUUGACAACGCUACUACUUGUGACGAGCUGUGUACACAAGGGAAGAGACAUAUGACUCCAAAUGUGCAAAGUCUGCAAGUCAUCACGUGCCACUUCAUAUUUGAGAAAGUUGAGUUUGCAUGUGAGACACUGGAGAGCCCCACUCUGCUCAACUUGAAGGUGCUGUUGCUGAACUUGUAAAGGUGCAACAAGAAGAGGAGGCUGCCUAGAAUUGCUAUAUUGAAGCGGGAUCUGCUGGAAGUUACCUUUGGCCAUCCACUGAUUUAUUUGUUGGGAGGAAGGGCCCUUGCUGGAAGUGUGGAGGGAAUCCCCAUGGUGGCGGCACUCCUGGUUCAGGGUAGCUGAAAUAGCCCGGGAACCACAACAACGACAUUUACAUCUACCAGACUGAUCGAACUGCUGGAAGGAGUUGUUCUGGCUGCGUGCCCCUUUCUCCCUUUGUGUAACAUCCCAAAAUUCUAAAUUUUGGAAUGUUAUAUUAAAUAAUUAAUUAUGACUGUUUGUUUGAUUGUUGUGUGAAUGAUGUUGUGAAAUUGAGUGGAAAUUGAUUUUCUUUUGAAAGUUGAAUGAGAGGG
rnacentral:rRNA from 1 species